CAUUCUACUAGUGGUCUUGAGAUGAUAAAAAGUGGGGCUUCUGAUUGGAUCUAAUGAUAUAAAGUAUUUGGCAAAAUGACAUGUAAGCAAGGUACUUGACAUUUAGCUGAUCUCAACAAACUUGGUUAGCAAACCCAACUAAUUUGGUAAGAGGGUUGGGACAAGCGUUCCUGAAGAUUUCAUGGGCACAUUGGAUGGGAUUAGAUCAAUACUCAUUCAUGUGACCCUGAGUUAGAUGUUAUCCAUUUGUGAAUUCAUUUGCAUUUAGCUACUAGCAGGCCUAUAAAGUAAAAUGAAUCAUAUGUGGAACGCAUUAGGCUUGCCUCAUUAACUUAUUGAAGUUAUAUUUGCUUGAACAAAGUUUCCUUCCCCUUUUCUGCAGCUUGUUGAACCACCCUAAAAAGUAAAAAUAAUUAAAUAAUUCAUCAACCUAUCAUAGACCUCACAUAUUGCAGCCUAUAUGAUGCUAAUGGAUAGAGCAAUGAGGUUGAAAAGUAUAUUUAUUACACCAAUUGUUGACUAAUGUGAGUAAAAAAAUAAUUACAGAGAAUCUGAACGUCCAUGUCGCUAGCUAUAUAGGAUCCACCAUC
rnacentral:lncRNA from 1 species